GGCGAGGUGGCCGAGUGGUGAAGGCGAUAGACUGCUAAUCCAUUGCCGAAUGGGUUUGAGUCCCACCCUCGUCG